UUUUUAGCGGCGGACGGGUGAGCAACGUGUGGGUAACCUGCCUUUUACUGGGGAAUAAUCACUGGAAACGGUGACUAAUACCGCAUACGGUUCUUGGAAGGCAUCUUCUAGGAAAGAAAGGAUUUAUUCGGUAAAAGAUGGGCCCGCAUCUGAUUAGCUAGUUGGUGAGAUAACAGCCCACCAAGGCGACGAUCAGUAGCCGACCUGAGAGGGUGACCGGCCACAUUGGGACUGAGACACGGCCCAAACUCCUACGGAAGGCAGCAG
rnacentral:rRNA from 1 species